UAAGCCAGUCAUAAAGCAGAACUGUGCUACACCAAUUGAGACAUACGAUCACCCUACAUUACAAGAAGUUUUGGUCCAGGUGGAAAAUAAGAAUACAAAACAGAGAGCAAACUUUGGUAUUACCCUACCAAGUACUAUAAGAGGGUCCUGUUUCAAGAAUACAUCAUACAUUUGGAAACCAUGAAGCUACAAUGAUGAUGAAGCAUCAGUGAUAAAUGGUACCACCCAAGCCACCAUUCUAAUAAUGAACUCACUCACACUAACUUGAUUCACACUCAAGGUGCUUUUGAAACAUGAUUAAGCCUCCAAACAUUCCACAAAGAAUUCAAGUUUUGAAGGACAAGAAGAAGUAUUAGCUUGAGUUUUCUCCAACCUACAGUAACAUCUGUUCUGCUGCUUCAAUGACAGAUUUCAGAAGAAACACAACAACCAGUCCCAGUAACUGCUAUUAUCAUGUUGCUUUUGGUCUAAAGGUCUUCAGCACGUUUCUAUUGGAUUAAUCAAUACAUUUAUUUUCAUCUGACUUGAUGGCUUUACCUCCAACAAGCAGCUGUCUAACCGAAGAUUCCACAACAAACAGCAUCACCAAGAAAUUGGGAUCGAGCGUGAAGUACUUCUAGAGACUAUGAAAUGUGUAAAAGAAAAUAAAGAAAGAUAUACCACUG